rnacentral:rRNA from 1 species
GAUGAACGCUGGCGGCGUGCCUAAUACAUGCAAGUAGAACGCUGAAGCUUGGUGCUUGCACCGAGCGGAUGAGUUGCGAACGGGUGUGUAACGCGUAGGUAACCUGCCUGGUAGCGGGGGAUAACUAUUGGAAACGAUAGCUAAUACCGCAUAACAGUAGAUAUUGCAUGAUAUCUGCUUGAAAGGUGCAAAUGCAUCACUACCAGAUGGACCUGCGUUGUAUUAGCUAGUUGGUGAGGUAACGGCUCACCAAGGCGACGAUACAUAGCCGACCUGAGAGGGUGAUCGGCCACACUGGGACUGAGACACGGCCCAGACUCCUACGGGAGGCAGCAGUAGGGAAUCUUCGGCAAUGGGGGGAACCCUGACCGAGCAACGCCGCGUGAGUGAAGAAGGUUUUCGGAUCGUAAAGCUCUGUUGUAAGAGAAGAACGAGUGUGAGAGUGGAAAGUUCACACUGUGACGGUAUCUUACCAGAAAGAGACGGCUAACUACG